UCCGGUUUGUCACCGGCAGUCCCAUUAGAGUGCCCAACUGAAUGUGGCAACUAAUGGCAAGGGUUGCGCUCGUUGCGCCACUUAAGGCAACACCUCACGGCACGAGCUGACGACAGCCAUGCACCACCUGUGCGGGCCCCGUAGGGCACCGUGUUUCCACGGCUUUACCCCGCAUGUCAAGCCCAGGUAAGGUUCUUCGCGUCGCGUCGAAUUAAGCCACAUGCUCCGCCGCUUGUGCGGGCCCCCGUCAGUUCCUUUGAGUUUUAGCCUUGCGGCCGUACUCCCCUGGCGGGGUGCUUAAUGCGUUAGCUUCGGCACGGACGGAGUCGACACCGCCCACACCUAGCACCCAUCGUUUACGGCGUGGACUAC
rnacentral:misc_RNA from 1 species